GACGAACGCUGGCGGCGUGCUUAACACAUGCAAGUCGAACGAAGAGCGACGGAAGCUUGCUUCUAUCAAUCUUAGUGGCGAACGGGUGAGUAACGCGUAAUCAACCUGCCCUUCAGAGGGGGACAACAGUUGGAAACGACUGCUAAUACCGCAUACGAUCUAAUCUCGGCAUCGAGGAUAGAUGAAAGGUGGCCUCUACAUGUAAGCUAUCACUGAAGGAGGGGAUUGCGUCUGAUUAGCUAGUUGGAGGGGUAAUGGCCCACCAAGGCGAUGAUCAGUAGCCGGUCUGAGAGGAUGAACGGCCACAUUGAGACUGAGACACGGCCCAGACUCCUACGGGAGGCAGCAGUGGGGAAUCUUCCGCAAUGGACGAAAGUCUGACGGAGCAACGCCGCGUGAGUGAUGACGGCCUUCGGGUUGUAAAGCUCUGUUAAUCGGGACGAAAGGCCUUCUUGCGAAUAGUUAGGAGGAUGA
rnacentral:rRNA from 1 species